UGGGAAACAAUUUCUCUCCAGAGUCAGCAGGACUGGCCUGGGAGAGGAGGGCCAGCCAUGGUCUCCGCACACAAAGAAGUGACAGUCCUGAGCAGAGCCACUAGAAUGAGCAAGUGGAGAGCAAGUUAGAGUGAAGAGUGGAGGUGAGAGGAAGUGGGCUGCCUGCCAUCCUGAGAAAGAAAAGGGGAGCUGGCAGCCUAACCCAGCUCCCUCCAGAGAGCUCUCUGAUUAGAGCAAAAAAGCAAAACCUCACCAUCUCCUGCAAGCACUGGGAAAGCUCCCUUCAGAGUCAGGGCUGAAAAUUCACAGGACGCUUGCCGAGUGGGACUCCAGGCUAAGAGAACCCGAAGGCUGCUUGCUGUCCAUUGGAGUCCUAGCUGGAAUUUCAAAUGAGUUCUCCCUCUCCAGGCCAGAGGCAGGCCUGAGGCAAGUGCCAACCCCACAGUGCUCGGAGCUGGGCCCAGGAACUUCUGGGCCACGCAGGAAGCUGUUCCUUUGCCAAAUAAGAGAAAAAUGAGGUGAAUGAGAAUGAUCACAAUGGGAAUGAAGCCUAAUGUUAUUCCUCAAACAAUGGGAGCAUCCUGGAGGCCUAGAAAGAUGCAGACAUUUGUUUUUAAUGUAAUGUUAGCAUGGCCAGAGCUCGGUUUCAUAUUUUAUGUCCUACUCGAUCAUUAUCAAUAGCUAAUGUAGUGAAUGCUUUCUAAUGGAAGGCCCUGUGCUUAGCAUUUACAUGAAUAUUUCUCUGAACCAUCACAAUUUAAUUUCAUAGCAUUAAUUAUAAUUUUAAGCAGAAGGUUUCAAGAUGUUGGUGACCAAGAUGUUAAAAUGUUUCUGUGCAACACAUUUCCCACAACCUGCUGUAAACUAAGUACUGUAUAAUUAUAGUGCUGAGCAUAUACUAGGUUAUUCUAGGAUGUCAAGGUCACACUUGCCCCGGAGAUUUCUGGCUCUGAACCUCAUGCACCUGUUUUGCGAUCUAUAAAGAGGAGUGUUUCCCCAUCUGUUUUGUCUCCCUCAUUUGAGUGAGCUGAGAAUCCAC
rnacentral:lncRNA from 1 species